UUUUAUUAGAUCAGUUCCGUUCAGUUGUGUUAUGUGCUGCACUCUGUCUCUGUCUUUCUGUCUCACUCUCACUUUCUCUCUCCCUCCCUCCAUCUGCUCUCUUCCCUAUCUGUGUCCAUCUCAUUUAGUCUUUCUGCAUCUCCAUUUUGUGGCAUGAUCUUCACUUUGGUUUGGGUUCUUUUCUUUCAAAGUCCCGGUGACCCGAACUUUGUUUUUAAUGCAGAAACGGCUGUAAGAAAACUAAAGAGAGAAGAGGAACCAGGGGCCUUUGUGGUGAGAGAGGGUGCUACAGUCACAUGCUCUCUGUCACUCUCUUGUUCGUUUUACCUCGCACUGUUCCAAAGCUGGAUUUUUGUUUCCACGUUGUUGAUUUAAUUGGGCAAUCUUUAGCUGCUGCCGUGUCAUCUUUAAGUUCCAAGCUCUGGUAAUUAGUGAGCUCCGUCUCCCAGCAUCACAAGGGUUGUGUUACCAUGGCAACUAGCAAGCAGAGCUUUAUGAGAGCUACCAAGCCUCAGUGUUCAGUGUCUGCACAGAGAGAGGAAGAGACGCGUGUUAAGGCCCCUCUCACGACUAUGUAUGUCCACAACGUUCCUGCCCCUGGCCUGCAGCCAUAUCCACAGGCCCAACCUGAAGCCUUGCAGGAUGCAACGGUUGUACCACUGUUCCUGCCAAGGAUGUGCAGCAACUCGACUCUACCCUCUCUGACACUGCAUUUUGCCAGUGGGACUGUUUUGCAACAACAAAGGUUAGUGGCUCCAGCAACGUCGGCCAGACCUAAGUCUAUUGGGAAACAUAUUUGCCCACAGUGCGGUAAGGACUGUCUGAAGCCCAGCGUGCUCGAGAAACAUCUUCGUUGUCACACGGGAGAGCGACCAUAUCCCUGCACUACCUGUGGCAUUUCUUUCAAGACGCAGAGCAACCUUUAUAAACACAAGCGCACCCAGGCUCAUGCCCGCCUUUCCAGCGAAUCUGACAAAGGCACCUUCAGCAGCCAGGAGAGCACAGAGAGCUUAAAGGACAACUGUACUAGUCCAUCAUGUGAGAUGAAUGGCAAAGAAGUCCUUCCUGUAGUGACCAUACCGAGUCAGGUAGACUCUAUAGAGACUAAGACAAUGUCUAUAGAAUGGGCAUUACACAAUGCUGCCAUGGUUGGAUUAAGCACAAUACCAGCACUUCAGGACAUGGGAAAUUCUUUGAGAAAAACUGUGGAAUUAUCAGAUGGCUUGAAAAAUAAUCCUGCUAUCCAGCAGAUAUGUGCACUGAAUGAGGAUAGAUUUACACAGCUGACUCCAAACCGUGUACCUCUUCAGAGGCAGGAAGCUUUAUUUUCCAAACCAUGGGAUUCCCCAAUGUCCCGAGGAAAAUCUCAAAGCCACGACAGUACAGAUUCUGGCUUCAGUGACAGCAGUGAGCAUCAUUCAUCCAGCAGUCCUGGAGCAAGUUUGCAUGAUCCCAGUAUGGAAUCAUUGACAGAAGCUACUAUGGAACAGCAGGAAACAGGAGCCUCACAGACAUCCGCAGAGAUGACCCCUGACCCCAAAAGCAAGGUGUCCAUUCAGGAGAAGCAGAAGCUGGAAGAACGUAUUUCAAAGCUUAUAUAUGAGAAUAGUGUGUUGGUGGAUAAUAAACAACUGGAACAUGUGCGGCCAAGAAAGACAGUAUUAUCAAAACAAGGAAGCAUUGAUCUUCCUGUGCCAUACACUUAUAAAGACUCCUUCCAUUUUGAUUUAAGGAGAAGCAAGCACACCUCAAGCUCACAAAAUCAAGAUAGAGGAGGUGGGGCAAUUGACAACUCUGUGCCUACACAGCACUCCACUGGCCUAGAGCAUGCACCAUUAACACGAAGCAGUUCUUUACCCUUCACUAUGGGUGGCAAAUCCACUGAUGGAGCAAUGAAUUUGAAUCUUAGCAGACGGUGCAGUGCAGGGCAUGUUUACCCAUUACGGUCAUCAGACCAACAAGCACCAGGUCAUCGCUCACUAGUUAGGCAGGUAGCGGUAGAUUGUCUGCCUACUGCAGAGGGAUCCCCCACUGAAAGAGGUAGUAUUAACAGCCUUAGCUCUGAUGGAGACGCCACUGAUGUCGGAACAGAGUCAAUUAUAAAAGGAAACUACAGAAAAAAAGCCCGAAAAUUUGAUUACACAAAAUGGCACACUUACAAAGGUGGGACAUUUACGAAACUCUACAAUACUGAGAAAGACUGUCUACUGAAGACGAAAAAAACUACACUGAAUUCUGAAAAAAGCCUGGAAAUUCAAACUAGUCAAAAGAGGGACAAUGGAUCUGUGUCUCUGAGCUUUACGUCCUGUUCUGUUGUGACCUUACAAAAUGACCUUAAAAUGUUAUAUACCAGCUUUGAAAAUAAUAAGGGGGAAGACAUGGAGAGGGAUGAAAUAAUAACACAACACACUGAUUUCCAUAUCCCAUCAGAAAGGAAAAAACAGCGCACUGGGAAUGAUGUGCAAAUGGUCAGUAUUUCAGAUCCUAAAACUGGAGGGGCAAAUGGAAAUCUGUGUGGUUUAAUUCAUCAAUUACCCCUGUCAGCUUGUGCAACGAAUGGUUCUAUCACAGUACCAGCACAAAAGGUCAACAUGCAAAAUCUCCAACCGCAGGGUAGCUUCAUACAUCAGUUCUCAAAUCCAAGUAAGCUCCUUGGUAAUACUCUUAGCCCUGCUGUUUGUUUUAUCAAUGUGAGUCGGACAUCUGGAACCCCGCCUGGUUCUAUCAGCAGCCCUACUGUCCCUUUAGCCAAGACCAGCUUUCCUCCCAAGUACCAGCUAAAAAUUCCGUGUUCCACAGAUGGAGUGUCAGCUUCUUGUUCUGGCUCAACUUUAGCACAUAGCACAUGCUCAAACGUUCCAACUCUCAAGCAAAGCCACCAAACUACAGUGCAGUGUCAUCUUGAAAACAGUGUACUAUCAUCAAAGCAGUGUCAGGGUGUUUCAAUAGCCACAACCUUUGACCGAAGUAAGCAAGAUGAAUUGUGUGCAACAACCCUAAUGCCUAUGUUAUCGGUUUCCUGUACAGAGCUAAAUCAAACAUACACUUUAUCCAAAAUCCUGACACAUAUUCAGUCUACCACACCUACAUCAACUUCACUUGUUUCUCCAGCAGUGCACCAUCAAAUACCUUUGUUGCAGAGCAACUGUGCAACACGUGUGGUGGAAAACCCGUCAACAGUUUCUAUAUCAUCUGUAUUAACAACCUCAGGGAACGCUCAGCCUGUUACAUCAAUGAACAUGUCAACAGUGAAUUAUUACUCAGAAUCCAGUCUACAAACCUAUUCUUCAUUAACUACGACACCUACAAUACAAAACCAUCCUGCCUCCCCUGUGAUUGAAUCAGAAAAACCUCUUGGUCUUACUGCAGACACCAAAUCCACAGUUUAUGAAAAUAUUCUGAACAGCACUGCUUCUAAAAUGGCCAGUGGUGACUUUCAAGGGUCCCAGUCGGAAGGAAAGAUGAUACUACUAAAUGGCUCAACACAGGCUCAGAACACAUUUUAUGUACAAACAGCUGACCUCCAGAUAGUCAUGCAGCUCAUUUCUGAUGAACAGUUAGCACUGAUAGAGCCUCAUAUUGAAACAACAACUUCAAACAUUUUAACAAACCAGACAACACUUUCACAGGAGGUAUAUAGCAAUGACGUGUCUCCUGUGUGCAUGGCACAGGAAAUGAUAAAUAAUGGUGAGAUGAGCAAGAAGAAUGGUUCCAACUGUGAAUCUGCCAGUCCAGUAAACAAAGCAGAAAUUGUUUGCAAUUUAAACUCUCAAAAUGAUAAAAAUUAUGCAAAUGGAAGCCCUCACUGUGUUUCAUCUUGGUCACAUCCACAGACAAAGGUUCAUAUCUCAGCCUCAGUGGAUUAUAAUAAAAAUUCUGCUUGGCAGUUGGAUGAACCACAGAAGAUACCUGAGAAUUCACAGGAAAGAAAAUCUGCUUGGUUUGAGGUCACCACAGAGACACACCACAAACUAGCAGCUGGAGACAAACUAAGUCAACCUCAUUUACUGGACACCAGUGAUUUUGUCCAUAACAAAGAUUUGGACAACUCCACUGAGGACCAAACAUUCACAGAGAUAACCAGAGAUAAAGAGCUGUUCUGUUUAAUGGAGCCAAAUCAAAUUCAAACUAUAACAAAUACUAAGCCAGUGGAGCCAAAGGAAACAGGUCACCUCAUGUCAGUCACAUUAUCAGGAAACUGUGAAAGUGUUCAAACAAAGACACCUACACAGCUCAGAACUUGUAUCUGUGAGAAAAAGAUGUCUACUGCAGAAUCACAACUUAAGCAAAAAGAUCUAAACUCCACAAUACAACCCAGUCACAACAAGCCACACUGGGCUGCAUGUGGCAGCUUAGAAUUAGAUACAAGAGAAAUGAGAGCAUGUGACAAAGGUAAGCUCAGCUGCAAGCUGAUUGAGACAUUUUGUCCAGGCCAAACACCUACACAGUAUGAAUUCAAACAAGCCUUUGCUCCAGGCCCAGGUGACUCUGGGAAUGACACUUUCAAUCAAGUGAAAGUAUCCUGUCCGAUGCUGAACAGGACAUCUAAUGUUCAAAGCAUUCCUGAAGACAGAACCAGAUGUGGAGAUGUCCAUACACAUCAUGCCAAUCUGGAAAUAUUUACAGGAUCUGUGGAGGAUGGUACCCUCAAAAGCUUGCGGUUUCAGAGGGACCCUGGGACAGAGAGCAAGGAAUCAGUCCCCAAAGAUCCUGAGAGUAGAGGUGGAGAGGGGGAAAGAGCCAGAACAGAGGUGGCUGACAAGAACAACACAUGCCAAGACUUCAAAAACAAAGGCAAAAGAGACAAAAGAAAGGAAGAGGCAACGUCUUGUGAGGAGCAUCAAACAUCUGCUCAAGCUCACCCACAUUUCUCCCGGGAAGUGUCCCUUAACAUUUCAGAGCCACUUAAGCAUGAAACAAACAAACCAAAAGCAUCUGUUUGCACAAAAAAUCUUUCACAAACCUGUCAGCAUCAAGGUCAAGGGGAAUGUAACAACACCACCAGAAAAGACAGCAUAUGUGAAUAUUUGGUUAACAGUCCUCAAGACACAAGCCAAAAGGAGACAUCUUCACCGAAGUAUUCCAAUCAAACAUGCAGUCAUCUUUUGGUGCAUCCAGUCAAAGUGAAUACAACGCAAAAUGAAUUCCAAAAGGAGACACAGACAAGGGGUGCUAUGAGCUACUGGAUUUAUUCCAAAGGCAAUCAAGUACAGACAUCAAAACACAAAAUGGGUGGCACAACUUUAUCAGCCAGCGUUCUGCAAAAUAACUGUGGUUCUUCGAAGAAUAAGAUGGUUGAUGCAAGUAUUGCUUCAUCAUCCAGUGCUGGGCCCAGUUCUUGCAAUCCCUCACAUCAAAUGUCUAGUCAAGAAUUUCACACUCAUCAAAUAUGUCCCCCAGCCAUGCACAGCAACCCAACAUAUUUAGGUAAUAACAGUUACCUGGAGCAUGAGGACAGCAACAGCAGCAGCGAUGAUGAGCAAAAACUAGUCAUUGAACUUGAGUAAGGUGAAAGUACACACAAGGCAAAACAAACCAAGGUAUCCAAUACUGCCACAUGUGUCACUACACAGAAGGCAAAAGGCCCUUUAGCAACUUGCAAUGAAAAACCUUUGGGAUCAUUAGGCUGACAUGAAAUGGUAUUUUAUCAUCAUAAAUCUAAAUACUGGGGUAUAAUUUUGUGACAUGACAUAUAUUGAUGUUACUCUCACAAUAAAAGCUCAUAAGCAGAGAACAUAUAUAUAUAUAUAUAUAUAUAUAUAUAUAUAUAUAUAUAUAUAUAUAUAUAUAUAUAUAUAUAUAUUAUUAUUUAUUUAUAUUUGCAAAUAUUCAAAGUCUAUUGAGGCCAUACAAUUGCUUUGCAUGAAGAACAGACCCAAAUUUAAUCAUGUACAAUUCCUAAUGCUGAUGCUGAAAUCCUGCACACAUUCAAAAGUUUUACCAUAUUUUUAAUGUCUAAUGUCAUUUGCUCUUGUGUGUUUUUGUGACAGUCUGCAUCAUGGUCAAUUUUAGAUUUAUCUUUUACAUGAGUGCUGGUUGUUUUUUUCACAGAGAAGGAAAAUUUUCAGCUAUUGAAACCAUGUGAUUUGCUUUGUUCCUCACAUAGAGUUCUGCAAGUUUUCUGAACCUAAGAUACCAAUAGAUCGGUGUAUCCAGGUGCAUUUUAUGCACACGCAAAACACCCAGGCACAUUCUGCAUCCUCACGCUACCCUCCAUCAACAGGUGCACAUAUGCUGUAAACCAUACUGCAUUUCACAGCCCUAGGAGUUUCACCUUAUAUUUUGUGGAGGCACCUGGAGAAAGCACUCAGGAUGUGCACAUUCUUCUUGAGAGUGUAAUCUCUUUAUGUGAUUCACAAUAGCUGAAUAAGUAUAAAGCUUUGGCCCAAGAAUAAAUUCUCACAAUGAGGUUCCACAUAGAUCAGUCAUCCGGCCAUCAGUAAAUGCAGUGAUGGCAAUGAUUCAGCCAGUGGGAGGCUUCUGGCAAUGUGAUUAAAAAGAUUUUUACUCAUCACAGACCUUUACCUUCCUGCACUAUCAUCAGUUCUUGGUGGCUGAAUAUCACUUGCUUAGACAUAAUAAUAUAUAUAUAUAUAUAUA